AUUGAACGCUGGCGGCAUGCUUUACACAUGCAAGUCGAACGGUAACGGGCCUUCGGGUGCUGACGAGUGGCGAACGGGUGAGUAAUGCAUCGGAACGUGCCCAGAGGUGGGGGAUAACGCAGCGAAAGCUGUGCUAAUACCGCAUGUGAUCUGAGGAUGAAAGCGGGGGACCAGGCAGCAAUGUUUGGCCUCGCGCCUUUGGAGCGGCCGAUGUCAGAUUAGGUAGUUGGUGGGGUAAAGGCCUACCAAGCCGACGAUCUGUAGCUGGUCUGAGAGGACGACCAGCCACACUGGGACUGAGACACGGCCCAGACUCCUACGGGAGGCAGCAGUGGGGAAUUUUGGACAAUGGGCGCAAGCCUGAUCCAGCAAUGCCGCGUGCGGGAAGAAGGCCUUCGGGUUGUAAACCGCUUUUGUACGGAACGAAAAGGCUCUGGCUAAUACCUGGGGCUGAUGACGGUACCGUAAGAAUAAGCACCGGCUAACUACGU
rnacentral:rRNA from 1 species